UGACUGCUUAGAGGGGUAACGUGUUAAUCGAGAAUGGAAAAAUCUGAAGAAUAGUUGAGGAAUUCCGCACAAAUUAAGAAAAAAAUGGCAGAGAUCCACGCUAAGGACGUAUACCGCUCAAUAAAGUUAAAUUCGAUGCCACCAACUAUUGGCGGCGCCACCAACAAACUCAGUGCCGAUCACUGGUGACUGCUUAGAGGGGUAACGUGUUAAUCGAGAAUGGAAAAAUCUGAAGAAUAGUUGAAAAUUCCGCUCCAAUUAAGCAGAAAAUGGCAGAAAUCGACGCUAGGGACGUAUACCGCUCAAUAAAGAAACUUACAGUAGCGUGUUAACAACGUGGCUCUCUUACCACAAGCAAUAAUUUGGAACUUGAAAAAUUCUAUUCCAUAGAAUACAUACACUUCUUAAAGAAUUAUUCUGCUAAAGAGAAUCGUCCCAUCGCUUGAAGUGACACCAGCAGAAUCUACUGACAACAAAUAGACCAGCAACUGAAAUUCUUCACGAAGUUUUUCAUGCAACAAUAUGCAGCUUCUCGGAACGGAUGAACCUAUUUUACCAGCAGCGAAUACGGAAAAUUUUGGUCCAUGCGUUUCUACACAAGCACUCUUCUGUACAUCACCGGAUCAAGUCAC